AGUUUGAGGGUGGAGGGGGAAGUCGGUUAUGAUGAUCUUUACGACCAAGUCUUUGAGUUCUACCGUAGUAAAUACUGCGGAAAGGUGAUGAUGUUAGUAGUUAUAGGAGGAGGUAGUUUUUUAUACUAAAUCUAUUAAAGUUUCAUUCUUACCAAUUCAUCACGUUGUAUAUUUAAAAUUAUCAUAUUUAGUACAUAAUGAACAUAUAUAUUGUCCUUACUAAGCUUCUUGUAUACAGAGCCUAUUCAAAUAAAAUUAUCAUAUUUAGUACAUAAUGAACAUAUAUAUUGUCCUUACUAAGCUUCUUGUAUACAGAGCCUAUUCAAAUUCUUCAAGGUUGGGUUGAAAGUUUUUUCAACUCUAUUAAAAAGUGUGACUUAAAAAAGUUUCGAAAACAAGUAUAUCCAACUGGGUUUCAAUGGUACCUCUAUCCAAUUCGGGUUUGACAGUGAGUUCAGGCAAAAAAUAGAAAAAUAAUGCUUCCAAAAAAGCAUUCUAUUCGGGAAUUCGGUAUUUUAUACGGUUUAAAUGAUCCCACCGGUGAUGAUAUACUGUUAGUUUCAUUGACAUAUUAACAUUUAAAUUUUUUUUUUAAAUUAUCAAUUUGAUGAUUUUUUUUGAACCGUACGGUUUUAUAAAAAUCGGCUCCGAUUAUUUGGUACGAAUGGUUUUGGAAGGUUCAAUCCGUUUUUUUUUGUUUUACUCUGAUUUUGACCCAUUAACGAGUUUGAAAGGUUGACCAAACCAGAUUUAUCUCUGGUUCAUGGUCCAACCGGUUGAACCGGCUAAUUCGGUCUGGUUUUUAAAACACUGUCUAAAAUGAAAAUUUGAAUUUAAAAAUAAAAUAAAAGAUGUUUAAAUGCAUCUUUUUAUUAAUUUAAAAUAUUUUUUUAUAUUUUUUUGUCUAUCACUCUUUGCUUAUCCCCUUUGAUUUUUCGUUUUUUCUUCUUUAAUAUCCCAUAUUCCCUUAGAUGCUCAAUUAGUUGUCAGUUGAGAUCAAUUGAGUUCCGGUGUACUCUAUCUUUUGUUAGUUGUAACAAUUGGAGAUCCUAUGUGCUCUAAAUAUUGUCAAUUUGGACCAAUAAAGUAAGCAGUGAACUCUGAAGAUGUUAAUUAUUAAUAAAAGAGACAGACCAAUAUUAAUAAGUACAAGAGAGGACAUUUUUGGUAGCAUUAAUAAUUGGUCAAUUGGUACUGGAAGAUGAAAUAUCAAUUGAGAUAUUUUAUGUUACUACCUAAUAUUAUAAUAUAUAUAUAUAAAAAGUAUAUGUUAUAUAUUUGUGUGGUUGUAAGAGAAAGAGAAAGAAAAGGAUAAGAAGAGUAGGUAGUAAGAGAGAAAGAGUUAUCAGAAAAAAAGAAAAGAAGAAAGGGAAGAGUAGAGAAGAGGAAAAGAGAAGAAAGAAGAAGUGAGAAAGAAGGAAGAAAGGCUUGGAGGAGAAAAGGAAAAGCUCAUCAUCACCAUUUUCUACUCAUCAUCCUCACCAACUUCAUUUUAUUCUUUUACUAGGUGAGUUCUUAGAUAGAUUUAGCCUUUGGGGGAAAAUAACCUAUGUUUAGGGGUUAGGAUUUGUGUGAAUUUGUGAUGAACUUGUUGUGUUCAUACUCCUCAUCCAUGCUAUGUGUUGAUAUCAUGUUGUUGUUGUUGAAAUUGUGAUACUUGGGUGUUUAAUUUUGAUGUGUUUUAUUGUUGAAGAUAUGGAGGUUAAUCACAUGAAUUCAUAACAAUAUAAGUUAUUCAUGAAAUAUUCCCAUGAAUCAUGAGUUAACCAUGUUUUCUAUGAUUAUGGUGUUGUUGUAAUUGAACAUGGUUGUUGAGGUUGUUAAGAACAUGUGUUUAUGAGGUUGAGGAUUCCUUGAGUGUUGGUUGCUGAUGGUUUAAUUCUAUCUACUUUUUCAAAAGACAUUCUAAAGGCGGAAUUGAAUGCAGUACACUCAGGUAUGUUUCAUUUUUAUCUUAUAAAAUAUAAUUUUUUCUUUUGAAUGAACAAAAAUACUAAUAUGUUUAUCUAACAAAUUAAUGUAACUCCAGAAUUUUAAGAAAGACAAAAUGAUUCGGCAUAUAUUCUUAAUCAAUUUAGAUGCCACUCAUCAAAACAAGGCCACCAAUAUAAUAAAGUGUUUUUAAUAGGUAUGUGUAUUUUGUUCUUCACCAUUAAAUUUUUAUAUUGUAUAAUGUAUAUACUUAUUAUUCAUUUUUUAUUACUUUUUCAUGAACAUGUAGGAAACAAAGAGAGUUUGAGGGUGGAGGGGGAAGUCGGUUAUGAUGAUCUUUACGACCAAGUCUUUGAGUUCUACCGUAGUAAAUACUGCGGAAAGGUGAUGAAGUUAGUAGUUAUAGGAGGAGGUAGUUUUAAAUACUAAAUCUAUUAAAGUUUCAUUCUUACCAAUUCAUCACGUUGUAUAUUUAAAAUUAUCAUAUUUAGUACAUAAUGAACAUAUAUAUUGUCCUUACUAAGCUUCUUGUAUACAGAGCCUAUUCAAAUUCUUCAAGGUUGGGUUGAAAGUUUUUUCAACUCUAUUAAAAAGUGUGACGUGAAAAAGUUUCGAAAACAAGUAUAUCCAACUGGGUUUCAAUGGUACCUCUAUCCCAUUCGGGUUCGACAGUGAGUUCAGGCAAAACAUAGAAAAAGAAUGCUUCCAAAAAAGCAUUCUAUUUGGAAAUUCGGUAUUUUAUA
rnacentral:lncRNA from 1 species